GCUGAAGUGGUGGAAUUGGUAGACACGUUGGACUUAAAAUCCAAUGCUCUUUGGAGCGUACGGGUUCAAGUCCCGUCUUCAGUA
rnacentral:tRNA from 1 species